UUCCUCUAAUUCUUCUUUUCCUUUGGAGCAUCCAAGAGAUUUAAAGAAGAAGAGAGAGUUCAGCCUUUGAAGAUCCUUGCGAGCUAGCACUCCCGAGGAGCCUAAUCUGCAUUGAUCUUCAUGUGGACAAUUUGUAAAGGUCAGACUUCUUUGUAUGACUAUGAGCAAUCUAAAAAAACUCUCUCCUAUGUGAGAUUAUUAUGGAGAUCAGCAACCCACAAUCUAGUAACGAGUUUUGAACUUGUUAG
rnacentral:lncRNA from 1 species